UACGUAGGUCCCGAGCGUUGUCCGGAUUUAUCGGGCGUAAAGCGAGCGGAGGUGGUUUAUUAAGUCUGGUGUAAAAGGCAGUGGCUCAACCAUUGUAUGCAUUGGAAACUGGUAGACUUGAGUGCAGGAGAGGAGAGUGGAAUUCCAUGUGUAGCGGUGAAAUGCGUAGAUAUAUGGAGGAACACCGGUGGCGAAAGCGGCUCUCUGGCCUGUAACUGACACUGAGGCUCGAAAGCGUGGGGAGCAAACAGG
rnacentral:rRNA from 1 species